rnacentral:rRNA from 1 species
AGAGUUUGAUCCUGGCUCAGGAUCAACGCUAGCGACAGGCUUAACACAUGCAAGUCGAGGGGCAGCGGGAGGAAAGCUUGCUUUCCUUGCCGGCGACCGGCGCACGGGUGAGUAACACGUAUGCAACCUGCCCUUCCCAGGGGGACAACCUUCCGAAAGGGAGGCUAAUCCCGCGUAUAUCCUCCGGAGGCAUCUCCGGAGGAGGAAAGAUUCAUCGGGGGAGGAUGGGCAUGCGGCGCAUUAGCUAGACGGCGGGGUAACGGCCCACCGUGGCGACGAUGCGUAGGGGUUCUGAGAGGAAGGUCCCCCACACUGGUACUGAGACACGGACCAGACUCCUACGGGAGGCAGCAGUGAGGAAUAUUGGUCAAUGGAAGAGAUUCUGAACCAGCCAAGCCGCGUGAGGGAAGACGGCCCUACGGGUUGUAAACCUCUUUUGUCGGGGAACAAAGAGCGGGACGUGUCCCGCGUUGAGUGUACCCGAAGAAAAAGCAUCGGCUAACUCCGUGCCAGCAGCCGCGGUAAUACGGAGGAUGCGAGCGUUAUCCGGAUUUAUUGGGUUUAAAGGGUGCGCAGGCGGCGGAUCAAGUCAGCGGUCAAAUUGCGGGGCUCAACCCCGUACUGCCGUUGAAACUGGUCCGCUUGAGUUGGAGAGAAGUAGGCGGAACGCGCGGUGUAGCGGUGAAAUGCAUAGAUAUCGCGCAGAACUCCGAUUGCGAAGGCAGCCUACCGGCUCCAUACUGACGCUGAGGCACGAAAGCGUGGGGAUCGAACAGGAUUAGAUACCCUGGUAGUCCACGCAGUAAACGAUGAAUGCUGGUUGUCCGGACCGAUUGAGGUCUGGGCGGCGAAGCGAAAGCGAUAAGCAUUCCACCUGGGGAGUACGCCGGCAACGGUGAAACUCAAAGGAAUUGACGGGGGCCCGCACAAGCGGAGGAACAUGUGGUUUAAUUCGAUGAUACGCGAGGAACCUUACCCGGGCUCAAACGGGAGCGGAAUGUCGCAGAGACGCGACAGUCUUCGGACCGCUUCCGAGGUGCUGCAUGGUUGUCGUCAGCUCGUGCCGUGAGGUGUCGGGUUAAGUCCCAUAACGAGCGCAACCCCUACCGUUAGUUGCCAUCAGGUAAAGCUGGGCACUCUGGCGGGACUGCCGGUGUAAGCUGUGAGGAAGGCGGGGAUGACGUCAAAUCAGCACGGUCCUUACGUCCGGGGCGACACACGUGUUACAAUGGCAGGUACAGCGGGAAGCCAUAUGGCGACAUAGAGCGGAACCCGAAAACCUGUCUCAGUUCGGAUUGGAGUCUGCAACUCGACUCCAUGAAGCUGGAUUCGCUAGUAAUCGCGCAUCAGCCACGGCGCGGUGAAUACGUUCCCGGGCCUUGCACUCACCACCCGUCAAG